GACGAACGCUGGCGGCGUGCUUAACACAUGCAAGUCGAACGGAAAGGCCCCAGCUUGCUGGGGUACUCGAGUGGCGAACGGGUGAGUAACACGUGGGUGAUCUGCCCUGCACUCUGGGAUAAGCCUGGGAAACUGGGUCUAAUACCGGAUAGGACCGUGCUUUAGUGUGUGCGGUGGAAAGUUUUUCGGUACAGGAUGAGCCCGCGGCCUAUCAGCUUGUUGGUGGGGUAAUGGCCUACCAAGGCGGCGACGGGUAGCCGGCCUGGGAGGGUGUACGGCCACAAUGGGACUGAGACACGGCCCAGACGCCUACGGGGGGCAGCAGUGGGGAAUAUUGCACAAUGGGCGCAAGCCUGAUGCAGCGGCGCCGCGUGGGGGAUGACGGCCUUCGGGUUGUAAACCCCUUUCGGCAGGGACGAAGCUUUUGUGACGGUACCUGCAGAAGAAGCACCGGCUAACUACGUG
rnacentral:rRNA from 1 species